rnacentral:rRNA from 1 species
UACGUAGGGUGCAAGCGUUAAUCGGAAUUACUGGGCGUAAAGCGUGCGCAGGCGGUUUUGUAAGUCUGUCGUGAAAGCCCCGGGCUCAACCUGGGAAUUGCGAUGGAGACUGCAAGGCUUGAAUCUGGCAGAGGGGGGUAGAAUUCCACGUGUAGCAGUGAAAUGCGUAGAGAUGUGGAGGAACACCGAUGGCGAAGGCAGCCCCCUGGGUCAAGAUUGACGCUCAUGCACGAAAGCGUGGGGAGCAAACAGGAUUAGAUACCCUGGUAGUCCACGCCCUAAACGAUGUCUACUAGUUGUCGGGUUUUAAUUAACUUGGUAACGCAGCUAACGCGUGAAGUAGACCGCCUGGGGAGUACGGUCGCAAGAUUAAAACUCAAAGGAAUUGACGGGGACCCGCACAAGCGGUGGAUGAUGUGGAUUAAUUCGAUGCAACGCGAAAAACCUUACCUACCCUUGACAUGUCAGGAAGUCUGGAGAGAUCUGGAUGUGCCCGAAAGGGA